rnacentral:tRNA from 1 species
UCCCUGGUAGUCCAGUGGUUAGGACUCUGUGCUUUCACUGCCAAGGGUGCAGGCUCAAUCCCUGCUGGGGGAA